rnacentral:rRNA from 1 species
AAAACAUGUUUAUUUGGAGAUAUAAAUAAUCUGGCCUGCCCCCUGAUCAUAAAUUAAAGGGCCGCAGUAUUAUAACUGUGCAAAGGUAGCAUAAUCAUUAGGUUUUUAAUUAGAAUCUUGUAUGAAUGGUUGGACAAGAGAAAAACUCUCUUUAUACUAUAUUUUGAAUUUAACUUUUAAGUGAAAAGGCUUAAAUAAUCUAAAGGGACGAUAAGACCCUAUAAAACUUUACAUUGUGAUUAUAUUUUAUUAAAUUUAUAAAUAAAGAUUUAAUUUAAUUAUUUGUUAGGCUGGGGAGGCACAUAUAAAUAUGAUUUUAACUGUUUGAUUUUUAUACAAUUAUUAAUGGUAAAUAAAAGAUCCUUUAUAAAGAUUAAUAAAUUAAGUUACUUUAGGGAUAACAGCGUAAUUUCUUUUGAGAGUUCUUAUCGAAAAAGAAGAUUGCGACCUCGAUGUUGAAUUAAAAUAUUCUAUAUAAUGAAGAGGUUAUAGUAGAAGGUCUGUUCGACCUUUAAAAUUUUACAUGAUUUGAGUUCAAACCGGUGUGAGCCAGGUU